GAUGAAACCUCAACUGCACCUCUCCCUGUUGUGUGUUGGGGAAUUCAUAUGGAUUGUUCUUUUGUGGGUUUAUACGAGCAGGCGGAGAGGAGUGGGGAGAGAGAUUUGGAGAGGGAAGAGGAGGGGGGGGUUGACAGAAGAGAGUGAGCACAGGGAGGGAACAAAAAAUGAUGGGAUGGCGCUGCUGUUUCCGCUGCGUGCUCACUCCUCAUCCUGUCAGCCUUAUCUUCUUCUUCCUCUUCGGCCUCGGUAGUAGAGUAGAGUGGAGUCCUAAUAUGAUUGCUCGCUGUACCAGUCGAGAUCGAUCUUUUGUUGCUGCUCUUUUUUUUUUUGCCUCUCGUUUUCGUUUGCUUUGCGUUGGAAACUGCUUGAUCAAGGAUUUCGCGUGUAGUUUUCUAUCGGAGGCCUCAGAUUUGAGCUUAAAGAAAUGGGAUUUGGGAGGCGGAAGCGGGACUUUUGAGAGGCCAAGUACCAAUUCACAUUGAGGCGAUAGUUCGAAGGUACUUCACGCUGCGUUCCUCCUCUCACUCUCUAACUGCGUACUGAGUGCUUCAACGAAUCUACUGUUUCACCAUGGCUUCUCUCUCUCUCUCUCUCUCUCUCUCUUACUCUCUCUCUUUCUCUUUCUCGUUUCUUGUUCUUGUUCUUUGGAUAUACAUCUUUGAGCAAAGCUGGGAUUUUGAUGGCAGUCUUGAGAGCUGUGUUUCCUUUCCCUUUCUUUCUUUUUCUUCCUUGUGACUUUUGAGUCUUCUUUCAUUUUUCUUCCAUCGUUUGCCAUCUUAUCGCCAAAGUUCAGAUUUUUUUGGGUCUUCAACGAAUCCUACUUUCCGGUGUGGACGACAAUAAUGAAACUUGAGCCGGUUCUUUUUUCUAGGGUUUCUUUUCCAAGAAGCGAAGACGCUUUUGGAGCCGACAAAAAGAAAGCUGGGAUCUCUCUUUUCCCUUUCACGAAUUUGUUUUGUGGUGGUUUUUGUUACUGCAGUCCCUUAUUAUUCCAUGGAGUUGUCUCCUUCCUUCUUCAGGUUUCUUGUGUUUUUGACAGUGGAAAUUAUGAACUUACACUUCGAGGGACCUUGAGUGCUCUCUCUCUCUCUCUCUCUCUCUCUCUCUUUGUUUUGUUUCGAUCUGUGAAGGAACUGAUUCCCGGAGGCUAUUUGAGGCUUCCCAAGAUCACUCCUUUUGCCUGAAUUACCCCUUCUUUUAUUGUCUAUUCAUUGGUUUCUAUUUUGCUUGUAGAUGAUGAUGAAUGAAUGGCCUUGUGGAAGGCCAAAAUCAGGUCUUUGUAGAAUUUUGGUACCACGGAUGUGCAGCUAGGCCAACUUUCCACUUUUAUUUUUUUCUUCCUUUUGUCUGCAAACAUUGCAUUGAAUAUUCUUGCCUGCUCAUUUACUCUCAGUAGCUCUUGGUUUGUUGAAGAAAGUUCUCUCUUUUGUUGUACACCAUGAUAGUUUGGUUUGUCUUUUUUUAGAUGUCAGGGUAUGGGUAACUUGAUCUUUAUGGAGAAUUGGAUUUGGGGGUAAUAUUAAUAUGUCAAACACUUGAUGCCCUUUUCAACCACGAGGAAAUCAUGGACAUGUAGUUCCAAACUUCGAAACUUUAUGUGGGAGAGUAGACAGCUCAGUUUUGGUUUUCCACAUAUUAGUUCUUCGACAAGCUAAAAAGAACUACGAGCCAAGUUCUCAGUGGUUACUGUGACUGUUAAAUCGAUCAGGAUAUUUGAACCUCCCAUUAUUAACUGCCUUAAGGCUAUUUUUAUGGACUAAUAUUCUUAUUUAUAGCUUAUGAUCUGUUGAUAGUGAUAAUAGCAAUCAACAAAAUGUCUUGCCACAGAAUUAGUUUCACUGGCAAAAUCAUGCAAGCAGUUAUUUUUAUGAAUGAAACCUAUGAGUGAUGGUCUUUUUCUUGCAUUUGGUUUGGCAUUAUGCUCUUAUCAAUGUAUAUGACUAUUGUCAAAUCAAUUGGGAUAUUUUGAGUUCCCAUUCUUAUGUCUUAAGGCAAUUCUAGUGGGGGAAUUUUCUCUUUCUUUAGAUUAUAGUUUAUUGUUAGUGGAUAAGAGCCAUCAACGAAUUGUCUUGGUACAAAAUAAUUUCACUUCCAAAUAAAUAAAGGCAGUUAUUUGUGUGACUCAAACCUCUAGUUGAUUGUCUUAGCAUUUGAUUUGGCAUUAUGCUGUUUUUAGCUCUCAAUAGUUACUAAGAUGUUAAAUCAAUCAUGAUAUUUUUAGUACUCAUUCUUAUGUCUUAUGACAAAUGUUAUGAAGGAAUAUUUCUUUGUUUUAUAUCUUACAGUUUGCAUUUAGUUAUAAAAGCAAUUGGAAGGAUGUUUUGCUGAAAAUUGAUUCACUGCGAAUGCUCCAAGCAGUUCUUUAUGAAAGUGAUUGUCUUUUGAAACAUUUCAUUUGGCAUUAUGCUCUUAUUUUAGUUAUCAAAUAAAUUGACUAAUAAAACCUAUCACCCAUAUUACUAUUUAAUCGCUCAGGUUAUGGGGAGGUUUAUCUUUCAGGACUACCUAGAUUAUUUGACACUAUAGCAGGCACCACAGCCCACAUUGGUUCUCUGACCUUGUCCAUGUAACUCCAGUUUGGAAGUAUUAGAAUGAAUCAUCCACUGCUAUAGCAUGUAAACCAUGCUUAUUAGCAGUUGUUUCUCAGCCUUGCACCACAAACAGGAAAUUAUCAGAAAAGAAGAUGACUCUUUGGACUCAUUUUCAACACUACAGAGGGUGCAGAUUGGGUCAGGUUCCAGACUAUUGCAUUUGUUCGAUGACUUCGGUUGACAGUCUUAUUGGUGGCAAACCAGUAUUUUGAUCUUUUGAGUCACUAGACAGUCAAAAUAGCCUUCUAGAGAGCAAACUGAAUGCCACAGGGUAGAAAAGUGUGUGGAUUCGAUGAUCAUUUGGUAGUAAGGUGGCAAAUCUUGUUUUACCUGUGCCAAUGUGUGAAGGAAAAUUAUUACUUGGAUCCUAAAUCUGGUGCAACAGAACUACAUCUUAUUCAAUUUAAAUUUUUGUUUGUAGCACUGGAAAAUAUAGGACUUGGGAUUACGUCAUGCCUGCACAAGGUGAAGUAAAAAAAAUGUCCAACAUAUAUAAGUAUAAAGAAUCCAAGUGUUACACUAUAAGCUAAAUCACAGAAAUUUCCUUCCAUAUAGCCAUGCACUAGUCACCUCAUCCCACCUUGUGCCUCUGGUGCUCACAAUUCCCUCCUAGACCAAAAGACUAACUGUUUACUUCCACAUUUUGCUAUGCACUUUGUGUGAAAGCUGCUGUUGAACUAGAAAAAUCCACCACCACUUGACAUGGCAGCGACCCUGUGACGCAUGAACACUUCAAAUUGCUUGCUGCAUCUGUGUCAGGUAUGUGCCGAUUACGUAUUUGUAGGAUAUUGCUUGGAUAUCUCAAGGAUACUCUAUCAAAAUAUCCAAUUUUUAUAGAAGUAAUUAAAAGAAUUGAAAACUUUUAGAAUACUUGGAAGGUAAUUCAAGGAGACAUAUUAAAAAUACCUUGUUUUGCUUAGAAAUUACUUUUUGAUUAUAACAAAAGAUUAAAUAAAUUGUUUACAUGUUGCUUAUAUUAAGCAUCGAUGAUCAGUAAAAUGUGUUGAAUGUACAUCAUUUAUCACUUAUCAUUAAUCAUCAUAUAAAACAACUACUCUAGCACUAAAUAAAUUGUCAACUUAACCAUAUAAAAUUUUAUAUUUGAUUAUUUUACUAUUAUGUUUGUAUCGCCUACUAAUGAGUAAAUAUUUAUCCAUUCAGGGUACAAGCCUGCUGUAAACCAUGUUGAGGGCAAUUGAAGACCUGACCAUUUGAUUGGUUGAUGGAUGAUUUUGCAGCCAAUAAUUACUGUGAUACAAGGGCUUUCAUCUACAUCCAUGUUUAAGGUGAAAUGUAGCUUCUGGAAGUUGAUAUUUAAUCCGACAGCAUAUGAAGUUCAACAACUAGUUAGUAUUCUCAAUAAAGAGCAAAUAGCUAUGAGGGCUUGGUUUGGCAAAUGAUUGUGCUCAAGAGAGGCAUUCUACAAGAGAGUCGAAACUUUUGGUCAGUUGUAUGUAUAUUUUGUCACAGAAGUUGAAGGCGUGAAGUGAAGUCGACAACACAUUAAAGGUCGGAUUAGAAAUCACCUCAAGUGUCUGUUUCCAAGUUUGAAUUUCUGAGAAGAAGUUAUUAUUGGCAAAAUCACCUCAGAAAUGAAAAAGACAUGAGAUGGCAGCUGAAUUGGUACUUUUGGAGCCAAAGGAAAAGGUUACAAUCGCUGUUGUUUGAUGGAUUAGUCUCAGGUACGUGCCGAAGGAGUUGUGUCGAAGCGCAUGAGCUCCUACAAUGUGCAAAUUCAAAAUGAAAUCUCAAAUUUAAUCAUUCAAGCUGAUUCUAUAAAUAUGGCUCAGACUGUCAUAUUGAAGAAAAGAGAAUCCUUCCGAGUUGGAAAGUAUUAUUUAGGAUUGAUUCGAGCAUCGCGCAAACCACUACCGAUGGAUGAUAAUCAAGUUGCUGAUUAGUUGACAAUUUUUUUUUAGUACUUUUGCGAAAUGUACAUGGGUGGACUUUUGUUUUUCGAUGGAUUAGUUUUAUUAAUGUAAUAAUUUUCAUUUGACAAACACUUCAAAGCUUAAACUGAGCAAUCUAAGAGAAUUUGCUGUUCUAUGAA